UGGGUGAUGAUUAUUUUUCAGGGGAUAUUAAAGAUUUUCUAAAAGAAUAUCACUAGAGACAUCAAAUUAGCUUACGGUGUGUGGUUCCAGAAGUUUCUGAAUUUCUCUAAAGUUACUUUGAAGUCUCUGGUUUCUAUUUGUACAACGCCGAUUCAAACCUACCCAUCUCCCACAUAAAGUCUAACUCAGAAUUCCUUAGUACCUGAUAGAGAAACCAAGAAGUUUUUGUUUAGCUCAAUUAAGACAUGGAUAAGACAUGGAUGAAUUCAAACCGAUUGUCGAAAGAGUACGAGAAAGGGGUAUGGGAAUUCGUUGAGUUUGCGGUUGCGCACUCCAAAGACCCGCUUCGAAUGCCGUGUCCUUGCUUGGGUUGCUGUUAUGGGGGUAAGGUUGACGGGAAUAAGUUGGCAUCCCAUUUACUACGGUUUGGAAUUGAUAGAAGUUAUACAUGUUGGACAAUGCAUGGUGAGAAAAGUAACGGGAAUGCUGAGUCGAGUUGUAAUAGGAAGUAUGCUUCAAACGACGAUUGCACAGACACAUACGAUUGCGAUCGAGUCGAAGAGAUUGCAGAAGCGCUUGAAGAAGAUCUUGAGGAUUGUCCCAAAAAGUUC